AGAUAAUUAAUGGUCUAUGCAAAAAUAAAAUAGCAGAACGAUUUUACACCUUUUCCAAUUUAAAAUUAUUAACCAAAGGCGCUCUGUCGAUAUAGAUUUUGGCAGAAAUAAAAUGCGCAUCAUUUCAAUUAUUCUAUUUGUCGUUUCAGUGUUCUUGAAAGUCAUUGCAAUCGAAUCGUUUUGUAUUCGAGACUGUGACGCAGAGGAAUUUGCCGAGGUAUGUGCCAAGCGGCCAAACAGUGACAAGGAAAUUGUGGUAAAAAAUCGAUGCCUUUUGGAUAGACAGAUUUGCUAUGACACGGAAUUCGGUUCGGUUACGUACGAAUUUUUACAUGAUGGCUGCUGCGACGGCUGGGACGGCUGGACUUAUGAAGAAGUGGGCAAAAAACCAUGCUUUGUUGAUCAUUCGUCGAAGCGUUGAAACUAAAGUAAUGAAGUUUUUGACGUUGUCCUUCAAAGGUGUGUUCAUUAUGUGUCACCCAUACCAUGUAUAUUUGAAGACAUACACGAAUGCUACUCACUGA